rnacentral:rRNA from 1 species
UACGUAGGGUGCAAGCGUUAAUCGGAAUUACUGGGCGUAAAGCGUGCGCAGGCGGUUAUGUAAGUCAGAUGUGAAAUCCCCGGGCUCAACCUGGGAACUGCAUUUGUGACUGCAUGGCUGGAGUGCGGCAGAGGGGGAUGGAAUUCCGCGUGUAGCAGUGAAAUGCGUAGAUAUGCGGAGGAACACCGAUGGCGAAGGCAAUCCCCUGGGCCUGCACUGACGCUCAUGCACGAAAGCGUGGGGAGCAAACAGG